UUUAAAUUGCCCAAAUGAAUUUGUCAGCAGCUGUUGUGGCUUGGUUCCUUUCUGCUUAACGCGGUUCAUUUUCCUUUGCCAACACAGGAGUUUCCAGAAAAAUGCCAUUAAUUUAGCACUAUAAUGAUGCGUAAGAAAAAUUGUGCUAUCCUUUGUCUAGGUCUUUAUGUGGAAUCAAAGCUUGAAAUGCUUUAAGUCAUUUUCUAUCAAUUGGUUCAUAAUGAUAAUAUGCCAGUUUAUUUUGCAUUCCCACGAAAUCACUAAUCAAUGCCUGAUAAUGAUUUGCAAAUUGGUUGAAUUUUUAGCUGAUGGAAAUUUCUUUGAUUUGUUUCAGGUGGGCUCUCCGGUGUGAGCGAUAGCAGUCACGGCGUCGACAUCAUCAGUAAUAUCAGCGGGGGUGGGGGUAGCAAGGGGCUUCACCCCAAAGUACCCCCGCUAGACUUGUCCCCGUUUCAGCUGAUUCUCCUUUACCCUCUCUCAAUAUUCCUCUUCAACCCCAUCCGAUGCUUUCCAAUAGUCGGAAUAACGAAGAAAAUGUCAGUCUCAUUGUUCAGCUGGGUGCGACUCAUGUUGGAACUCGGCAACUUGCUUGAUUGAGCAUCUUAGAGCUUGCAACUUUGACCGAGCCCAAUAACGUCAUGGCCAAGACGGAGUGACGUACUUAAUUGAAAUUUUUAUUAAACUUAAUCGAUGUGUAUUGGACAUUUUUCAAGUACAACAGAUGCCCUCAUGAAUCUGUUGCUGUUUCAACAAUUGAUAGCUGUCAACAGAACGUCGUCAGUCUCACUGGCGCCGAGAGUCAGCCUCUACUUUCCGGAGACAAAAAGCACUCGCGAAGCGCAAUAGUCAAGGAAGAAGUCAUAGCAAGUAGCACUGCGGUCACCUCCUCUGUUUCCCAACAUCUCAUUGAAGUUGAUCACUUCAAGCCUCUGAAUGAAAUCAGCAAUGUAGCUCCACAAACUUCUGCUAAUCUGAAGUUUAAAGUUUCUCAAGAUUUGAAGGGAAAUAAUUCCUUUCCCAACUCAGCAGCUGCUUCUGCAAAACAUAAACCGACAUUUUCAGAAAUGAACUCAUCCUUGGUUAUGCCAAUGAACUUUCAAACCUCAAAAGAAAGUAGUCACAGAGGUUAAUUGUGGAUCUCGAAUGAAACCGGUUGAUCAAAGUUUGAGUUGUAAAUCAAGGUCAAUGAUGCAUGUUCCGAUCCCAAACCAGUUAU
rnacentral:lncRNA from 1 species